AUCCCAUCUGGAAGGAUAUAAUAGCUGAAAACCUUCUCUAUGCCUCACAGGUUCUCCUUUGUAACUAAACCGCUCUCUCGAAUUGGUGGUAGUGAAGUCCAUUCACUUUGUGAAGGUCCAGUGAUCUGGAAGGAAGCCUGGAACUCCUUGUGGCCUGAAUGUACUCAUAACCUCUUCCCUUGUGAGUCCCUGCCACAGUGGCGACGGAGAAACCACCCUGCUGGUCACUAGAAGGUGUGCAAUUGCUCCCCACUACAGACUCCUAGAAAGACAGUAUUCACCAUCUUCCGAGGCAAAUAUUAAUUACAUUAUUCUUACUGAGGUCUGAAGAGAGUCUACAACUUGGACCAGGUGUGGAGUGAGAGGUGGAGAGAAGAUUCAGACUCAAGAGUUUAACAUCAUCCUGACACUAAAAAAAUAUUGAAUAAAGAGCAGUUGGGUUGAAUUAAAUGUAGAUGAACAAAGGCUGCUGACCACCAACCAAUCUUCCCCCUCUGCCUGCUGACAUUUCCACCCCAGCCAUCACAAGACUGUCUUCAUAAUUUGCCUCUUCCACUUUCCCCUCCUAAGGAAAUGCUUGUCGUUAUGGGAAUCUGCCUGGUCCAAUGAACUGUAGUCAUUUGACCCCUAAAGAAAUUUGCAAGCAUUCUUUUCCUAGUGACUUCUGUGCUUACUGGGGGCUAAUAGUUUCCUUUACUGUCUCUGUUUGCUCUUAUUCCAUUCUUGUAUUUGGAGGUGUAGCCAAGGAUUCUUAAGAAAGGUAUGUAUGGAAUUUUUUUAUUGACCCCCCAGGACAACACUAUGGUAG